AUGGUCGAUAUGAUAUGUCCCGCGCCCGCCACCGCUUGGAGCAAGACGACGCCUCGCAUCCCGCUCCUCCCGUACGUCCUCCUCGGCCUCGCUUCCACCGUCAUGUCACAGGAGCCGGACACGGAGGAGGAAUGGGCAGCUGUGGAGCGGCGAGGUGCUCACCUGGUAACGGGGGCGGCGGAGCGCCCCUUCAUCAUCCACGGGUUCAACACCUACUGGCUCAUGUCCUUCGCCGCCGACGAGGCCACGCGUCCGCGCGUGACAGCGGCUAUAGCCGAGGCUGCCGGGGCGGGGCUCAACGUGUGCCGCACCUGGGCGUUUGCUGACGGAGGGUACCACGCGCUGCAGACAGCGCCAUUCUGCUACGACGAGGAGGUGUUCCAGGCGCUAGAUUUCGUGGUCAGCGAGGCAAGAAGGUAUAAGAUGCGGUUAAUACUGUCACUAUGUAAUAACUGGGAAGAUUAUGGAGGGAAGGCACAGUAUGUAAGAUGGGGUAAGGAGGCUGGAGUAGAUCUUACUUCUGAGGAUGACUUCUUCUCUGAUCCAACACUUAAAGGGUACUACAAAGCUUUUGUUGAGGCUGUUUUGUCAAGAGUAAACACAAUCACAAAUGAGGCCUACAAAGACGAUCCUACCAUUCUUGCCUGGGAGCUGAUUAACGAGCCGCGCUGCCCUUCAGAUCCAUCAGGCGAUACGCUGCAGGCAUGGAUAGAAGAGAUGGCAUCUUACGUGAAGUCUAUAGAUACUAUGCACCUCGUGGAGAUUGGUAUUGAAGGGUAUUAUGGUCCGUCUACUCCAGAACUUUUGCUCGUCAACCCAGAUGAUUAUUCAGGGCAUGUUGGAACGGACUUCAUCAGGAACCAUCAAGCAAUGGGAAUUGAUUUAGCUUCAGUUCAUAUUUAUUCAGACACUUGGUUGCCUGACUCAACAGAGGAGAGCCACGUUCAGUUUGUGAACUCUUGGAUGCAGCAACAUAUUGAUGAUGCAGCAAACUUGCUGGCCAUGCCCAUCGUGAUCGGGGAGUUUGGAUUAUCACUGAAGGAUGGCAAGUUUGAAAACGAGUUCCGCGAAACUUUCAUGCAGACAGUGUACAACAAUUUCUUGUGCUCUUGGGAGAGUGGAAUGAUUGGAGGAGGCUGCCUUCUGUGGCAGCUCUUCCCUGAAGGUGCAGAACACAUGGAUGAUGGUUAUGCAGUUAUUUUUGCAAAAUCACCAUCCACAUUCAACCUACUUGCAAAUCACUCAAGGAAGCUAGAAUGCUGA
rnacentral:rRNA from 1 species